GACAGAGGGUGCAAACGUUGUUCGGAAUUACUGGGCGUAAAGCGUGUGUAGGCGGCUAGGCAAGUCGGAUGUGAAAGCCCCGGGCUCAACCCGGGAAGUGCACUCGAUACUGCAGAGCUUGAGUAUCGGAGAGGUUGGUGGAAUUCUCGGUGUAGAGGUGAAAUUCGUAGAUAUCGAGAGGAACAUCGGCGGCGAAGGCGGCCAACUGGACGAAUACUGACGCUGAGACACGAAAGCGUGGGGAGCAAACAGG
rnacentral:rRNA from 1 species